ensembl:lncRNA
CAACCGAGCCACUCCUAUCGUCUUUCAAACGCAGAGCAGAAAUGUAACUGCAUUACACAGUUUCAUGCAAAGCCGAGGGUCAACGUAACAAUAACAAUCAAGUCUUGUGAUUGCAUUGACGCAAACAACUUGGAUGCGAGUGCGUGUUUGACAAAGAAGCAGAAGGUGGAUUUGACUUCUUUCCAGAGCCUCUCUAGCCGUCGGCCAGGGGCCCAGUGGGCUUUUCGUCCUCUUCCUGGUCCUCCGGGUUGGGACUCGGGCCACGAGGCCCUCUGGACCGGCUCAGCCGACAUUUUGUUGCAGAUUGGCGAAAGACGGGCCGCGCGCCUCGCAGCUUCAGUCCCCCGUUACGUUGCCUCGACCAGGCGGCUGUGGAAAACCAAGGAAAUUCUAACUGAUAGCUCCAUUCAACCUAGUUUCAUUGAUGAUGCCGAGGCAAUACUGGAUGGAUCGUUUUAGAAAUUAGGGAAAAGGGGAGAGAGGAACCUCUGAGUUCAUGCCAACCGUCUGGCUCCGAACUGCCGAUGACUUCACCCUCUAAAUCCCAUCCCAUCCCACUGUGAGACAGACAACUGGAUUGAAGCUUCUGCUGUCAUACUGUAAAUGGAAUUCACAGUUUUAUUGAGUUAAGAUGCUACAUUUCAUCAUUAUUGUUUCACUUUAAUGGGCCUGUGAAAUACUGUUACCACUUACACAGAAAAUAGAUUCUUCCUCACUUUUCUGUUGAAUUGUCCCGAUCUGUUUUUUCUACCCAUUUUCAACCAUGCAGCUAUCGAUAAAACAGCUUUUAAUGUUGAUUAAAUAAAAUGCCUCCUAGUCUUAGCGUAUUUGUGGUCCAAUCUGCUGGAAAUGUUGUGGACAUCUUGCCUGUUCAUUGAACCCACGCAAGGACUUAAGGGUUUCUAGAACUAACACAAACUGCACUUUUAUUUCGCCCCCGAGGCCGCCCGCUCCGCAGUGUGACCGCACGCAGGAUGGAGGAAAGAUUUACUGUAAUUCUCGGCUGUUUUGAUAUCAGACAGCCUGUUGAGUAAUAAAGGUCAAGGUCUGUUAACCUUUGCGGCUGGGAACGGAUGAUGCGUACAAACCCCGUUUGCUGGUUGACUCACUGCUGACACGUGCCAGAUAAGCGGCGGUGCCGUGGUUUGGGCCAAACUAAUUGCCAGUUGUGUUCUUUUUCGCGCGGCGUUCCCCCGUCCUAUGAGCCUCGCGUGGCGCUUGUGUUUGACGGCUGCUGGUCCCGCUGGACGGGCCUCACGCUCGGUCAGCUCUGAGCAGAGAAUCAUGUGCUCUUCAGUAACGGUUAGGUCAAUGAAAAAUCUUCUUCGCUGCCCCCAAUUAACAGUGAAGGUCGAGCGCCAGAAGGUCAUGACGCGAUUUAACCCCCCCCGCAGGAGGUCAAUUUGACCUGAAUGGCCUCCUAUUAAGCAUGAUAAAUUUGUUAUUUUUCAAACCAUUAAACCUUUUCGCCAUUUAGUCAGAACGAACCAUCGGCCCGCCGCAAACUACUUUCCCGUUGACGGGG